rnacentral:rRNA from 1 species
CGUACACUCCUACGGGAGGCAGCAGUGGGGAAUAUUGCACAAUGGGCGCAAGCCUGAUGCAGCCAUGCCGCGUGUAUGAAGAAGGCCUUCGGGUUGUAAAGUACUUUCAGCGGGGAGGAAGGCAAUACGGUUAAUAACCGUGUUGAUUGACGUUACCCGCAGAAGAAGCACCGGCUAACUCCGUGCCAGCAGCCGCGGUAAUACGGAGGGUGCAAGCGUUAAUCGGAAUUACUGGGCGUAAAGCGCACGCAGGCGGUCUGUCAAGUCGGAUGUGAAAUCCCCGGGCUCAACCUGGGAACUGCAUUCGAAACUGGCAGGCUUGAGUCUUGUAGAGGGGGGUAGAAUUCCAGGUGUAGCGGUGAAAUGCGUAGAGAUCUGGAGGAAUACCGGUGGCGAAGGCGGCCCCCUGGACAAAGACUGACGCUCAGGUGCGAAAGCGUGGGGAGCAAACAGGAUUAGAUACCCCAGUAGUCCC